GAUGAACGCUGGCGGCGUGCCUAAUACAUGCAAGUCGAACGAAUCACUUCGGUGGUUAGUGGCGAACGGGUGAGUAAUACGUAAGCAACCUGCCUAUGGGACUGGGAUAACGUUUGGAAACGGACGCUAAUACCGGAUAGGUAGAGAGGAGGCAUCUCUGCUCUAUUAAACUUUAGAUACACCGAUAGAUGGGCUUACGGCGCAUUAGCUAGGUGGUGAGGUAACGGCUCACCAAGGCGAUGAUGCGUAGCCGGACUGAGAGGUUGAACGGCCACAUUGGGACUGAGACACGGCCCAAACUCCUACGGGAGGCAGCAGUAGGGAAUUUUCGGCAAUGGGGGAAACCCUGACCGAGCAACGCCGCGUGAGUGAAGACGGCCUUCGGGUUGUAAAGCUCUGUUGUAAAGGAAGAAUGGCAUGGAUAGAAUCCAUGAGUGACGGUACUUUACCAGAAAGCCACGGCUAACUACGUGCCAGCAGCAGCCGCGGUAA
rnacentral:rRNA from 1 species